rnacentral:siRNA from 1 species
GCGUUUUGAUGGCCUUACUGAUCC